UCUAGGGUUUUCCGUGCCUAUAUAUACAUAUUUUCAGCCAAAUUUCGUUCACCACCCCCCAUAUAAUUCAGAAACACAUUCAGCCGCAAUUCUCACCAUUCUACAUCAUUUGCCGCACCAUUGGAGAAGAAUGAGCCUUUGCCAUGGCUUCCAUUGGAGAAGGAGGACCUUAUGCGCAAGAGUUCUAAGAGUUCUUUCUUCCCUCGUUUCGUUUCCAUGUUUAUUUUCUGUUGCUUUUCAAUUGUUAUGAACAUGUGGAACUAAUUCCUUUUUAGUUAAAGGUGAAUUCAAAGCCAUGGACAUAUGUUUAAUAUGAAUUGAUUACUAUAAGUUUUUGUUUCAUAAAACAUGAAUGUGAUUUACUUAUCUGUUUGAUUGAUAACUUAUUCUUGUGUGUUGAUUAAGGAUGCAUACUUAGUUUGCAUACAUGAAUCUUAUGCUAAUUUAUAAGGGACUUUCACCUAAUCGUUAGGAACUUAUAAUUAAAAGUAGUGAAGAUUGCUAGUCACAAUCAUGUUAAGUAGAUUCUUGGCUGGAGUAUCAUGCAAUUCAUAGUUAUGAUAGCCUUGUCAAUGCUUAUGAUUUCCAUGGAACUUAAUGAUCUUUGAAUGUAUCUCUAUCAUGUUGUUCGUAUAGGGAACUUGAUGAGAAUAAUUUGGUUGCGAUGCGUUGUCCAUUCAAUUCAAUGAAUUUAGGGAAAUCUGAGAGUUAAUUACUGUAUUCACGAUUAAUUUGGGGCAUUGUCAUUCAUGGUUUAAAGAAACAAUACUGGAAAUUGAUUUAUGUUGCAUAUGUUCAUGUGUGGAGAAGGACCCUCUAACUAGCCUAUUUCACCAUCCAAUUCACCUGAUUUAGUACCUAGUUUGAUUUAGUUUUGCAAUAUGUUCAAUUUAAUUAAUUUCGUCCAAAUCAAUCCCCUUUUAAUUAAGUGUGUUAGAUUAGUUAGAAAAGUGUUGAAAUCUGUCCAAUUUAGUGUUUUGAGUCUUAGUAGUCUUAAAUUCGUCCAAUUAACUCCCUAGAGUCAGUUUUGAGUCAAUUUCACUUAUUUGUGCUGUUUUGAGUAGUUUGAGUCAGUUUUAAGUCUUAAGUGUUUAGUUUUGUGUUUCUAAGUCUAGUUUUAUGUUUUUGAGUCAUAUUUGUGUUGAUUAGCAGCCCUAGUUAGUCCCCGGUUUAGAACAAUCCCUACUUGCUUAACACUACAAUUACAUGUUUAAUAGGGUUUAAUUUGUGUGUCAAGUCAUUUUCAGAUCAGUUAUAUGUUACGCAUUCUAAGAAGCAACCAAGCAAAGAAAUAAUGAGAUCAUGGAACGACUUUAGAAAACAAAAACAUCACAGAUUAAUAACUCUCCAAACAAAGUUUAGGCUCAAGUCUCUCAGGGUUGUAGCGUUAGUUUGAGUUCCUUCCUUUAAGCAUGUUACAAAAACUGAUUUUUCUUCUUUUGUGAUUAUAUGUGAAUUGGUUAAUGACAACUACAACCAAGUAUUAACCAAAGAGAAUAUCAAACUUCCACCCAUGUUUGUAAUUUUCUUUAACAGUCAUGCAAUUAAAAACCAAAUCCUUAUCAUUGUGUUGGAAGGUAACCUAAGACACAAACACACAAAAACGACUCUAAAACCAUUCUUUUUGGGUUUUUCAAAACUUUUCUAAUUUUUUUUUCAAAUCUUUGUAUUUUUCUUUCAAAACACGCUAAAAACACUUAAAAACAGUGAAAAACAACUCUAGUGGUGCUAGGUGAUAAAAUCCCACGAAAAUGAAUGAAAAACACUUUGUUUACCCCCCCCCC
rnacentral:lncRNA from 1 species